AUCCAUAAACAUAUGGAUUUAUGUUUUAUACUUUUAAUCUUUUGUUUUUUUACUAUCGUUGAUUAUAAUCACAAAUAUGUAUUUAUAGAUUUGAUGUUUUUACUAAUUUUGACUAUUGAAAUUCCAAAAAAAUCUAAUCUUCAUGUUUGGACGAUCAAUCGGAUGGUGAUUUUGAAGUUGUUGAUCAGUCGGAUAGUGAUGUUUCUACUGAUGGGAUGUUCGAUGAAGAUGACGAGCAGGAUACGGAUGCACAGAGUAUCUUAAAGUUUUUGACAAACGUUUUUCUGGGAAGACCCUUAGCGAAAAGAGAUACGAUUAACUCGAAGGUUAUUAAAGAAGUUGUUUCUGCACUGGGCCGACCUUUGGCAGACGUGUUUUUGCACUAACAGAAGAAGGUUAUGGUGAAUUCACAGUCACUACAAAAAUAAAAAAAACAAGUUUCAUUAUGUUAAACAAGUUUUGAAUUGUUUAAUAUAUGUUUUCAGG